UACGAAGGGGGCUAGCGUUGUUCGGAUUUACUGGGCGUAAAGCGCACGUAGGCGGAUCGAUCAGUCAGGGGUGAAAUCCCAGAGCUCAACUCUGGAACUGCCUUUGAUACUGUCGAUCUGGAGUAUGGAAGAGGUGAGUGGAAUUCCGAGUGUAGAGGUGAAAUUCGUAGAUAUUCGGAGGAACACCAGUGGCGAAGGCGACUCACUGGACACAUAUUGACGCUGAGGUGCGAAAGCGUGGGGAGCAAACAGG
rnacentral:rRNA from 1 species